ACAUGAGAUAAUCCAUGAAUAAACACUACAAGCCACUCCUUCGCCUUGAGCCCUGUGGAGGGGAAUAAAACAUUUUGGGGUGAGCUAGAAGCUCAGCGAGUAACCAAGAAAUUCAGUUAUCAAAUCAGUUUCACAAUCGUUCAUUUCAAUAAUGUCAUGCUUCAACAAUCAAUGCACUUUCACUUCUCUCAUGAGCCAGUGAAAUCAUGGUACUUAGAAGUCCAACGCUCCAAACAAUCAUUUAACAUUGAACAUUAACAUUGAACAUUGAACAUUGAGCCCAUUGGUGCUCUACAGGAACAUUAAACGGUGGAGGAAACGUCGGAGUCUAGCACACGAAUUCCAAGUACUCAUUUGAGCCAAAACAUGUCAAGAACUUAUAUGCCGGCACACAGGAUAUGCAAUCAAAGAAACGAUGCAAGAAACAUUUUAAAGUAACGUUGCAAGUAGUUUAAGGUCACUCACCUCCACGGCUCAUAAUCCUUGUUCAAUAUAGCCAAUUCCAUCAUUCAAGUCCAAGCUUUCACAUGAAACUUAAGGUAACCAACGCUAUUAAAAAUCGGACAGCAUUUCCCCAUAAAUUCAUCCUUUCCAUCCUACAAUCAAACCCAAUCACAUAGCAAUUAACCACAAUUGCUCAAAACCAGAAAACAGUUUUGACGUCCUUUUGCGGUAAUGGCACCAAAGGUACUACGAGUAUCGGAUGGAGAUCCAAGACCCACCGUUUCGAAGCUAAGAACCAGGGCUACAACAUUGUAGAAGGUCACUCAGUCCAAAUCCUAGUACAACUAGGUCAAAUAUGCAGAAUACCAAACCAGAAUCGUAAUUGCAGGUUCCCAAAUCACACAAUGCUGUAAUUCGUCCAACUCAGUCUACACAGGUCCAAAUGCAUUGAUUCCAAAGGCAUAUGAUAGCUAAGACAUUAAGCUACAUUUCAUCAGAAGACACCAACAUCCAAAUCCAAAGCAAUUCCAGUCAAAACAGACAAUUACAAUCGCAGUUCUCACAUUCUGAUCACCCAGAACAGCAACAGUAAAUUCGGCUUUUCUUAUUCCACACUACUCCGAUUGACCUGAAAUUUUGUAGGCACCUUUAAAAUGUAAUUCCCUACAACUUUCAUGUUCUGAGCUAAGGCCAAUUCGGCCUCUAUCUAGGACCAAAAUUUCGGACAGAAUGAAGAACAAGAACCCUAAUUUUCCAGAUUUCUUCCAAAACAGAAAUUAAUUGCAAUCUUCCACUUUUUCCACCUCCUAGAGUCAUUAAACAUCAAUUCCCAUCAUCAAGGAUAGCCACAACAUCACAUUCAUAUUAAACCAGAAAAUUCAUCAAUAAAUUGAAAACUUCAUCAAUUCAUCCAAACCAAGAAGUAAACCACAAAAUUCAUCACUUUAACUACCACUAGGCACUAAUUAAGCUUCAUUAAGUGUAGGAGAAAGUUCAUAUACCACUCACCUAGUAAACAAGAGAGGAAGAGUUGUAGGACACCUUAGCUUCUCCAAAAAACUUCACCAAAUCACUCACUAGCACCAAAUGGAAGGAUUGUAUGGAGUAGAAACAAAUUUCAGCACUUGGGUUGGAUGAUUUGAGCUAGAUGUUAGCUAAAAUGGUGAAGAGCUCUCUUCCUUUCUUCCUUAAGGUUGGUCGGCCAAAGAAGAGAAAGAAAUGGUGAUUUUUGUGGCAAAUUUGAGAUAUUUAAUCAACAAUUAGUAAGAAAGGUCAAAAGUCAAAUAAGUGGCAACCUCUCUUAAAGUGACACAUGUCACUUCAUUAAUGCAACUCUAUCCUUUUGUCUCUCCAAUAAAAAUAUCUUAACACUUUGUAAAAUAAUAUCACUUAAUACAAAAUUCCAACAAGUGGUUAAAAAUAUAAUGCAUUUACCGCACUAGCGGGUCCCACGUCCAAAAUACGCUUUUAAUUUCUCAAAAACUAACCGAUACUAGAAAAAUCAUUUUAAAACUAUAUUCUGUUUCAUUUCCUCGGCCAACCUAUCUGCAGUAAAUUGAACUCAUUCUUCCUUCAAUGUUCACUUCAGUUUAUACUUGUUUCUGUCAUGCUCGAAGAAGUUAAGAUGCUUUACAAUACAUUACAGCUUAAUACAAAAUUUAAAACCAAACUUUGCAGAAGACCGCUAGAGUUUCUUCACUUCUUUUCUCUCGGAUGAGGCUAUAAGGAUUUCAGCAGGUUUCUUUCUUUCUUUUCCACUCAAAGUUUCAACUUUCACAAGUUUCUAUAGCUAAAAUUCACUUAAUGGCUUCCAUUUUUCCAUUGAUAACAAGCUGCAAUUCAUUUAGCCAUCUCUCAGUUCCCACAGAUUCAGUCCAGCUUCAAUUUUAUUCCUUCAUCAGAUUUUUCCUCAGUUAAAACUUAUUUUUCCUUGCUAAAAACUAACAUGCAGCCCAUAUAUUCAGUGAUACUCUGUAAAUAAAAGAAGGUUACAAAGAGUUUUACCUUUCUCCUUUAAGUUUUAACGGUUGCAGGUUGCUCCUAUUCUUAGCCUCGGUUCCUCAACUCUUGCACCAGCUAUCUCUCCCUUCCUUGCGUUUGUUGGUUUGUUCGUUUAUGUUUAGCAGCUGAUGGAGUUAAUCAGCUUCCUCUCCUCACCUCCAGUUCCACUCCCUCGGUUGGUUUUAGAAAGAAAGAAAGAAAGAAAGAAAGGAAGGAAGAAAGCUGCCUUGUUUUUUCUUCCUCUCGGUCACCGCCCAAGCUAGCAGAUUAGUUUCUAUUUGUUUCCUCUCAGUCACCGUCUGGACUUAGCAGAUGAUUUCUCUUUGUUUUCUCUCUUUCGGUCACUGCCUACUCAGCAAAUUGGUAGUAUAUUCCUUCCUGGCAGCUGUCUUAAUAGGAGUUACUCACCGCCCAAACUAUCAGCCAAUUUCUACUCAUUUUCCCUUCCACCGCUUAAACUUAGCAGAUGGUUAUCUAGCUUCCGUUCGGUUCCUGUUUUGUCAAAAUUCUAGUAGUUUGUUCCUUAGUUGCAUCGUAGUUUAACCGAAUCUCCAAGAUUGGUCCGGUCCUUUAGUUUUGGUUCAUUUGUUUGCUACGAGUCCAUAAUUUUAUUGUCUCAUACAUUGAUUCCAAAUUUCGUUUAUUCUAAUUUGUAUGUACCUUGGAAAAUUUUUCCUACAUUGGUCUAGUAGAAUUUCACACAUUUGGCUUUAAGGAAAAUUAAUUAGUCAUGUAACUUAUUCAACUAUAUAAUAAAUUCUAAUGACACAAAUUGGCAAUAAGUCUAUCAUAUAUUUGUUUGGUUCCUAAAAUUUUUCUACACCAUUCUAUUAUUUGUUUAUUAUGAUAUAUAUAUAUUUUAUCCUUACCAUUAUUAUUAUUAUUAUUAUUUUCUAAAUUUCAAUUUAAUAGGAAUUCAAUUAUGCAUUUAAUUUAACCAUUUAUUUGUUUUAUAUAAUAUUUCUAAUGAUAAGUUAAAUAUAAUGAAAUAAAUUCGAAGUAUGCACAUAAAUUUCCGAGUUCUCACAUCCUUCUCCCCUUAAGAAAAUUUCUUCCUCGAAAUUUCGUACCUUUAAUCGUAAAAAGUUCCAGGUAUUCUUUCCACAUUUUGUUCUCCAGUUCUCAUGUCAUUUCUUCCAUUCCAUGAUGCUCCCAUAGGACUUUGAUUAAAGGAAUUUAUUUAUUCUUCAAUCCCUGUUUUUGAAAUAACAUGCCCCAGAAACAAUAUUUUCUCCAUUCGAAAUUCACACUUACAAUUGACGCUUCCUUAAAGUCGAUAACACUAUCUUUAGAUUCUAUUCAUGAUCUUCCUUCUUAAUUCUCCAUUGAUAGUAUCGUUGUCAAAAAUCUAUCUUAGAAAACACCAUUGGCCCUUGCAACAAUUAUAACAUCGUUAUAAGCUCAACUUUCAAUCUCUCCUCUUUUUUUUUUUCUCCAAUCUUAAUCUCAUAGUUUCUAUACACCACUUUGGUUACCAAAUUUCACUCAGGUUAGUAAUUAUUAAUCCCAAGGACUAAUAAAUAUUACAGCAUUAUAACAAAAUAAACAUAUGAUCAUCAAAUUACAUACACACAAUCUAAGUUACAUUACACACCAACUUCAUACAACUUUAAAAGCCAAACAAUUCACGGAUACAUUCAACAUUUUCAUACAUAACUCAAACUUCAAUCCUUAUAAACAUGAAAGAAAACAAUUCAAUAAUACAUAAAUUAUUAUAACCACACAGCUAAUAGCUCAACCCUUAGUUUAGACUCAACUUAAACUUCAUUAAUCUAAUUUUGGACAGUCCCACUAGACCCAAUUUCUUCUUCUGGUUCUACUUCCAUAGGUUCCUCUUCCUCGGGAUCUUUCUCUGCCGGUUCGGCUUCACCUUCGACUCUAGGAGCCUCUACACCCUAACUUUCCCUAUUUAGAUUCUCCCCCACAAGCUCUUCCAUCAACACUUCACAUUCAGCUAGAAUCCCUUUAGUUCGGUCUCUUACCUAUCUUAGUACCCUAGUGAGACGGUCUUUAGUCUCCUGCAACUGAUCAUACAAGACAUUAGUUCACUCUUGCUCCUCUAUCAUAUCAGUUUCCUACUUUAGGAUCCUAUCACGUCACAUCCUUAUGAAUUUCCUCAUUUCUUACAUUCUAAUAUGAGCUCUCUCAUUUGCUAUUACUAAUCUCUGUCUUUUACCCAUUUGAACUAGUAUCACUCGAUCCAGAUAGAAGUAAGUUCUUGAACAGUCACAGUGACUAGUCAUUCAAUGCCCUAGAACACACUGCCGAAAGGAUACACCUGGUCCUUACUUAAAAACUAUUUCACUCAAAUUUCAGGUCAGAAAACCAUAUUUUUAGGCAAGAGUUGGCAUAUGAUCUAUUUACUAUCGCAGGCUAAUAAAAUUAUUCACCUUAAGAUGGAGGAUUUGCACUAAUAUUCAAGAUCUCACCACAACCUCUUCACCCUUAGCUCUCAAAAGCUAGCCUUGGUCUCGUUAAUUCUAUUUCUUCAAUUUAAAUCGUGAUUUCUGAUCACGUCAUAAUGCAAUAUACUAAAUUCUUCCUAAUUUGUAAAUACACCAUUGAAUGAAAUAUCUGGUACUUGGGUACAAGAAUCUGAAAAUAGGAUAAUUCAUAGCCUAGGUUGGCCAGUCCCAAGAGUAAAUUACCCAUAUUUGAGAUUCCUACCUGAUGUACUUAUCUAAUCCCCUUAGCAAUAGUAAUUAAUUCAACACUUAAAAGGUCAAUCCCCACAGUUCGAGAACCCUCUCCCGGCUUGACCUCAUUAAGAGCUUUGAUACCACCUGUGACGACCCGCCCUCCUCCUAGGACGUACCCUAGAAGUUAGCGGACCGCCUGCCUGGCUCUCGUCAGGACUCAUUUAUUUACAUUAACUUCAAAGAUAACAUUUCUCAUUAAUCAUCCAAACAUCCAUUCUUAAUACUUCUUAGUAAGACAAAAGCUUUGUCCACUACAAAUUACAAAAGUAAAUCAUCCAAACGUUCAUUCUUAAGUAUAUCACCCAAGUACAUCACCAACUAGUGUAAAAUAUAAAUCUACCCAUUAAGAGAUGCAAAAUGCAGGUCUUAUCAUCAAUAUAACACUCUAACUCUAUUUGAUCGUCCUUCAAACUUCAACUCCUGUAAGGAAAACAAAGCUAAAAGGUUGAACUAAUGCUCAGUGAGGUUUCCAUGCAAGCAACAAUCAAUAAACAUUUAAACCAGAUAAGCCAGUAACAAAAUUAAGCAAUUAAAGAACACUUCACUGAAUCAAGUAGAGAACACUUCACUGAACAUUCACUUUUAAAAAGGAUACAGUGCUCGCAUUAGAAACUUCAAUGCACUACACACUCCACCGAACUCCUCCUUAUAACCUCCAAAACAAUAAACACUUCCCUCACUUAGAUGGCCAUAUCAACAUCAGUAAUCUGCUACUCCUUGGUAAUACUCGAGCAUACCAAUACACUUACCCAAAGCUACCGUCCUAUCCGACAAGCCCUUUUGCUGGCUCGAGUAGUCCGUUGAACAAAGGGUUUUGGGGCUCAGUUCAGCCGGUGUGGUAAAGUACACACAUGGCUUACAGUCAUGCACAUUUACAAUAACACUUGAUCAAUUAUCAACCUUCAAGUUCAAACUAAGUCGAGUGCGAUAAUGUACACUCCCGACUUAGAAGGCAAGGGACAAUUGAGAUAUACUUUACAAUGAAUCACUAGCAAUAUUCCAUAAUAAGCACAUUUAUCACAUAAUUUCACUUAAGUAAACAUAAACAGUUAAACACACAAAUCCGGAAACACUCACCAAGUUUCCAAAUAAAUUACUCUUGAGCCUCGAGUUUGUUUCCUGAGUCACAGCUAUUCCCUGAGAUAAGUGUAUAAGUCCAAAGUAAAUAUACAAUUUGUAGAUAUUCAUUUAUUAUUUAUUACCCUAUUAUCGGAACUAUUAAAAUCAAGUUUGACUUUAAAAUACAAAAUAUAAUAUAUUCAAUAUUUAUUCUACAUUUUAUUUCGAACUUUAUUGACUUUAUCAUUUUAACAAAGAAAUAUACACAUUUUCUAAGGUUAUGAUUUAUAAAUAUUUAAAUUAGGAUUAAAUCAUUUCUCACUCUAUAUCUUAAAGUUAAAAUAAAUAAACUUUUCAUCCUUCUCUUCUUCUUUUUUUCCAAAUCAAAUUCUAAGUUGUCUAUGAUUUAAGUUUUGUAUAAACUUAUUAGUUUUCUUGUUUAAGUUUCUUAAAUGUUCAUAAGCGGAGUUUCACAACGAAUUAGCUUAAAAUUUCAAGAUUCCAUAAAAGUUUCAUUUCUCCCUUCAUCCGGUCAGCAUAAACAAUAUUUUAGCUCAAAUGUUCCUUAACCUACAACAACUCCACUUUUUAAUUGCUUAAACUUUAGUCACCUAGUAUACAUUUCAUUCAAGGUGAAUAACUCAUAAUUUCAGCAUGUCGGUCGCCCACAUCAUAUACAAAAUUUGUCAUCUUCAAUCGCAACCAUUAACUAGGCUUUCUAGCAAUGUAUCGGUCCAAUAUUCGGUACAUUUCCCUCAAAUCUUUCCUUUCACUCUCAUGUCCCAACUAGACAAGUUAAUUACAUUUAUUAAGCUACAAAGUAGCAUUGUACAGAACGUGGAAAGUUUUGCAGCUUACUUAGAGGAAAAAACUGAUCAACUCUUCCUUCUUUCUCUCGCCAUAAGGUAAUUCAGCAGCACAUUUCAUAGUUUUCCUCUCAUUUGCCUUAGUUUAACUCUACUCACGAAACUAGUCAUAGUCACUAAAUCACAGAGCAACCUUAGUUCUACCUGUGGAAGUUCACAGAGCCAGAAAUUAAAAGAAUGGCUGCUCUACAAGCUGAUUUCCUUCCCUUUUUUUUCUAUCCUAACAGAUUGUACCAACUUCCUUUUGUCAAAUUUUAGUUAAGCUUCCUGAAGUUUUCUGAUUUCCAAGGCACCUAUCUGUUAAGGUAAAGAAUUAACAUAUCUCAUGCGGUUGUUAGUAAGUGUUUCCAAUAUAUUAACAACAAGUUGCAUAUUCUGUUUCAUUUCCUCGGCCAACCUAUCUGUAGUAAAUUGAACUCAUUCUUCCUUCAAUGUUCACUUCAGUUUAUACUUGUUUCUGUCAUGCUCGAAGAAGUCAAGAUGCUUUACAAUACAUUACAGCUUAAUACGAAAUUUAAAACCAAACUUUGCAGAAGACCGCUAGAGUUUCUUCACUUCUUUUCUCUCGGAUGAGGCUAUAAGGAUUUCAGCAGGUUUCUUUCUUUCUUUUCCACUCAAAGUUUCAACUUUCACAAGUUUCUAUAGCUAAAAUUCACUUAAUGGCUUCCAUUUUUCCAUUGAUAACAAGCUGCAAUUCAUUUAGCCAUCUCUCAGUUCCCACAGAUUCAGUCCAGCUUCAAUUUUAUUCCUUCAUCAGAUUUUUCCUCAGUUAAAACUUAUUUUUCCUUGCUAAAAACUAACAUGCAGCCCAUAUAUUCAGUGAUACUCUGUAAAUAAAAGAAGGUUACAAAGAGUUUUACCUUUCUCCUUUAAGUUUUAACGGUUGCAGGUUGCUCCUAUUCUUAGCCUCGGUUCCUCAACUCUUGCACCAGCUAUCUCUCCCUUCCUUGCGUUUGUUGGUUUGUUCGUUUAUGUUUAGCAGCUGAUGGAGUUAAUCAGCUUCCUCUCCUCACCUCCAGUUCCACUCCCUCGGUUGGUUUUAGAAAGAAAGAAAGAAAGAAAGAAAGGAAGGAAGAAAGCUGCCUUGUUUUUUCUUCCUCUCGGUCACCGCCCAAGCUAGCAGAUUAGUUUCUAUUUGUUUCCUCUCAGUCACCGUCUGGACUUAGCAGAUGAUUUCUCUUUGUUUUCUCUCUUUCGGUCACUGCCUACUCAGCAAAUUGGUAGUAUAUUCCUUCCUGGCAGCUGUCUUAAUAGGAGUUACUCACCGCCCAAACUAUCAGCCAAUUUCUACUCAUUUUCCCUUCCACCGCUUAAACUUAGCAGAUGGUUAUCU
rnacentral:lncRNA from 1 species